ACGUAGGGGGCGAGCGUUAUUAGGAAUUACUGGGUGUAAAGGGUAUGUAGGCGGCCCUUCAAGUCGCGUGUCAAAGUCCAGUGCUCAACGCUGGGUGUGCACGCGAUACUGACGGGCUUGAGGGCUGGAGAGGUGAGCGGAAUUCCCGGUGUGGUGGUAAAAUACGUAGAGAUCGUGAGGAACACCAGCGGCGCAGGCAGCACACUAGACAGUUUCUGGCUCUAAUAUACGAAAGCGUGGGGAGCAAACAG
rnacentral:rRNA from 1 species